rnacentral:rRNA from 1 species
UACGGGGGGGGUAAGCGUUGUUCGGAAUUCUGGGCGUAAAGGGCUCGUAGGCGGCCAACUAAGUCAUACGUGAAAUCCCUCAGCUUAACUGGGGAACUGCGUGUGAUACUGGAUGGCUUGGAUUUGGGAGAGGGAUGCGGAAUUCCAGGUGUAGCGGUGAAAUGCGUAGAUAUCUGGAGGAACACCGGUGGCGAAGGCGGCGACCUGGAC